rnacentral:rRNA from 1 species
UACGUAGGGACCGAGCGUUGUCCGGAAUCAUUGGGCGUAAAGAGCGUGUAGGCGGCCAACUAAGUCCUGCGUGAAAUCUCGGGGCUCAACCCCGAGCGGUCGUGGGAAACUGGUUGGCUAGAGUGCGGGAGAGGAGAGUGGAAUUCCUGGUGUAGCGGUGAAAUGCGCAGAUAUCAGGAGGAACACCGGUGGCGAAGGCGGGUCUCUGGGCCGUAACUGACGCUGAGGAGCGAAAGCAUGGGGAGCGAACAGG